CAGUAGCCGCGGGAAAACGUAGGUGGCAAGCGUUGUCCGAAAUUAUUGGGCGUAAAGGGCUCGCAGGCGGUUUCUUAAGUCUGAUGUGAAAGCCCCCGGCUCAACCGGGGAGGGUCAUUGGAAACUGGGAAACUUGAGUGCAGAAGAGGAGAGUGGAAUUCCACGUGUAGCGGUGAAAUGCGUAGAGAUGUGGAGGAACACCAGUGGCGAAGGCGACUCUCUGGUCUGUAACUGACGCUGAGGAGCGAAAGCGUGGGGAGCGAACAGGAUUAGAUACCCGGGUAGUCCCUGUCUCUUAUAC
rnacentral:rRNA from 1 species